UCGUGAGAUACCAGGACAAAAAACACAGGUUUUUCGCAGGUAUGGUUUCUUAGUUGGUGUAAAAGUUGGUAAAGAGUUGGUAAACUUUUGAACUGACAGAGUAUAGGUUUCUUAGUUGGUGAAAGCAAGAAUAAUCCGGUGACUUUUCCGGUUAAAAUAACUCACCGGAAAGUAUGGCGAAACAGAAUUUUGCAGGAAAUUUGAAGAAAAACCCAAGUUUUAACAUGUCUUCAUGUGUCAAAACAAGGUUUUUGUGAAAAUUUUUUGCAAACAACAACAAGCUUUCUGAAAAGUUUUAACUCAUUUUAUCUUUUAAAACAAACUUGAAAAUCCAGUUUCAAACACAAACAAAGUUACCAAACCUUCAAAGAUUUUGUGCGAAAAACACGACACUAGCUCGGUUUUAAAAAGGAUCUAGUAAUCUUAACCUUGCUAUUAGACACACCCGCAAGUGCGGAAUCCGAACGGGUAUGCAACCGAGACAAGAACACGAGAUAUAAGAACAAGUUUCAACGUUAAAGCUCAGUAUAUUAUACCAAAGAGUUUGUUUACACAGGAUAAGACAAGAUAACACUCACACAAACCCACUGUAUUCUCACUAUGUUCUCUGUGUUCUAAGGUGCUACUUCAUCGCUAUCGCUACGUAGCAUAUAGGAACAGCAAACACAAUGCAUAUGAAUAGAUACCAGAAUGGUAAUGCAUCUAGCAGCAAGAGUUUGAAGACUUCUAUCAUCAGUAGUCUGUCAUCAUGGUCAAAUCUUGACCACGACCUGCUCUUACCAAUUUUGAUGAAACUUGGACCCGUAGAUUUCUUGGCAUUCAGCGGGGUUUGCAAAUCUUGGAGGUCACUAGCAUUUGCUUGUUAGAAAUCCGGACAGCGGAAGCCAUCAUCAUAAUCGACAUCGUAUCCGUGUUUGCGUGUGUGAUUAUGUAUGAGUGUGUGUUUGUAUACGGAGAACAACAGAAACACAGAGAAACAUAAA